GGUGGUGGCGAUGUAUGAGGAGAAUGCAUUUUGAUCAUCAACAAGGCUGUGAGUGUCAGUUUGCGAUCAUGUGAGUGAAUUUGUAGUGAGUACGACGAGGACGACGACGACCAAUCACUGCCAACUGCGAACAGGAUGUCCAAAAGGAAGAGUAAUAACAUUUUCCUCUUCGAUUCGUUAUCAAAGACGCUGCCGGACGACAGACCAAUCACUUCGCUUCAGAUAAUCGAGAAUUUGGAGAGGUGUCCACCCGGAUUUUACGCCAUCAGCAAGACCCACGACCAGGACCAGGAUGCUGAUCUCUGGCGAGAGGGAAGUUCUUUCCUAAAGAAAAAGUCCAUCCGAUACCUCUGCAUAUCAAAAACAGAAGGAUUACCCGACUUCGUAUUAAAGGAGCUGAGUAUUUUGAAUGAAAAGUCUGUUCCAUCGGAAGGCUACAGUUUGCUCAAUAGGACAGCGGACAGUGAGCAGAAGGCCUGGCGCAAGAAGCAGCUCUGCUACAAGUUGGUGCCCAAGUAUAACACUCAACUUGCCAUCACCGAUAUUAUCGUGUGCAGUAGACUGAAGAAGGCACCUGACGGAUUCGUGCAAGCAGGAGAUUUGAACGGUUUACUGAUCUGCUACAAAAUGGGCAACAUCCAGACGUCGAACCCCUCUCCCAGUCAGUCGAACGGCGUGAUCGGUCACCAGAAGCGAGGUGGUGCUGCGCCUCCACCUCCUCUACCACCCAAAGGCACUUCGAUGUACCCGGAUUUGAGCGACGGCGACGGCGAUUACGAGAUCCUCAAUCCGAUCCAGACACCCUCGAGACCCGCCCCGUUGCCGCCCAGCCAAUAUCCGCUCAGUCCUCCCCUCCACGUCCAGAACCAUCCAGCUGCUCACAAUACGAUUGGCUCGACGUCCAAUUAUGCCGGCCUCGAGGGCGUUCCCUUUGCGCUCAAUCCAAAAUUCGGCAACGGCAGUGCCGACAAGAUUCAACUCCCUAUUGUAAAAUCGAGGAAAAUGUCCGAAUUGAUGAGGGAUUACAAUUACGAUUUCCGACUCGAACGGACGAACGUGAAUUGAUUCAUAUCAAUUGCUGUAUAUUCUCCACGUAUAUUAUUUUAUUUCUUUUACUACGGAACUACGUUUUGCAUGAAGUGUAAAGAGAGAGAGAGAACUUAAGCAAUUUGCAACAAGUUUUGUUGGUAUAUUCGGGCACGCAUUUAGCAGUUAUCCGUUGAAUGAUUUCCAACUCUCAGGUUCGUCUCCCAACGAUCGUUUUCAUCUUCAAUAUACUUUAAGGAGCAAGUGCUUACGAAAAUGCAGGCCAUUUUCGAAGGCUAUCUAAUACCAAAGUUUGAUAAUCAAUUGUGACGAAACUAUGUUAGCUACAGACAUGUAUUUACACUCAUUUCAAUCUCUCUAUAAUCAAGAUCAACAUUAAGUCCUUACACUCUUUUGAGAGUGAAUGUAUACGAAAAUACAGACCAUUUUCGAAGACGCUAUUUUCCCCCAACUAAUUUGUAAAAUACCAAAGUUUGUUAAUCAAUUAUGGGGAUACCAUUGCAGCUACAAAUUAACAUUUGCCCUCAUU